GCCGAACAGGUAACCAGCCAGUUAAUACGGAAUGUAAAAGAAAUUAUUACCUCAGCUUCAUUGUUGCCAAGUAACUUUGUCAGAUGUCCAGACCAAUAACAGCCAUUAGCCCACCAAUCAACCAAAUCACCUGCCUGCCAAUUGCCAUCAACAACUACUGUAGUUUCAGAAGUUGAACUGAAAUUUGAUACUUCAGUUUUGACCUUGACUAAAGGAUACUGCGGUCGCAGCAUUAGUUGU
rnacentral:misc_RNA from 1 species